rnacentral:rRNA from 1 species
UACGAAGGGGGCUAGCGUUGUUCGGAAUUACUGGGCGUAAAGGGCGCGUAGGCGGCCUUCUAAGUCGAACGUGAAAUCCCCGGGCUCAACCCGGGAACUGCGUCCGAUACUGGAGGGCUUGAAUCCGGGAGAGGGAUGUGGAAUUCCAGGUGUAGCGGUGAAAUGCGUAGAUAUCUGGAGGAACACCGGUGGCGAAGGCGACAUCCUGGACCGGUAUUGACGCUGAGGCGCGAAAGCCAGGGGAGCAAACGGG